rnacentral:misc_RNA from 1 species
GAUGAAGAACGUAGCGAAAUGCGAUAAGUAAUGUGAAUUGCAGAAUUCCGUGAAUCAUCGAAUCUUUGAACGCACAUUGCGCCCCGUGGUAUUCCGCGGGGCAUGCCUGUUCGAGCGUCAUUACACCACUCAAGCCUCGCUUGGUAUUGGGCGACGCGGUACGCCGCGCGCCUCAAAUCUUCCGGCUGGUUCGAAUCGUCCCUCAGCGUUGUGGAAACUAUUCGCUAAAGGUGCGCGUUUCGGUCACGCCGUUAAACAAGCCAAUUUCAUUAAAGGUUGACCUCGGAUCAGGUAGGGAUACCCGCUGAACUUAAGCAUAUCAAUAAGCGGAGGA